rnacentral:rRNA from 1 species
CGGCACGGGUGAGUAACACGUAUGCAAUCCACCUGUAACAGGGGGAUAACCCGGAGAAAUCCGGACUAAUACCCCAUAAUAUGGGCGCUCCGCAUGGAGAGCCCAUUAAAGAGAGCAAUUUGGUUACAGACGAGCAUGCGCUCCAUUAGCCAGUUGGCGGGGUAACGGCCCACCAAAGCGACGAUGGAUAGGGGUUCUGAGAGGAAGGUCCCCCACAUUGGAACUGAGACACGGUCCAA